AGUGAACGCUGGCGGUAGGCCUAACACAUGCAAGUCGAACGGCAGCACAGUAAGAGCUUGCUCUUACGGGUGGCGAGUGGCGGACGGGUGAGGAAUACAUCGGAAUCUACUUUUUCGUGGGGGAUAACGUAGGGAAACUUACGCUAAUACCGCAUACGACCUACGGGUGAAAGCAGGGGAUCUUCGGACCUUGCGCGAUUGAAUGAGCCGAUGUCGGAUUAGCUGGUUGGCGGGGUAAAGGCCCACCAAGGCGACGAUCCGUAGCUGGUCUGAGAGGAUGAUCAGCCACACUGGAACUGAGACACGGUCCAGACUCCUACGGGAGGCAGCAGUGGGGAAUAUUGGACAAUGGGCGCAAGCCUGAUCCAGCCAUACCGCGUGGGUGAAGAAGGCCUUCGGGUUGUAAAGCCCUUUUGUUGCGAAAGAAAAGCAGCAGGUUAAUACCCCGCUGUUCUGACGGUACCCAAAGAAUAAGCACCGGCUAACUUCGUG
rnacentral:rRNA from 1 species